UUGAACGCUGGCGGAAUGCUUUACACAUGCAAGUCGAGCGAAGAGUACCAGAGUACCGGGCUCUUAGCGGCAGACGGGUGAGUAACACGUAAACAAUCUGCCCUCGAAUGGGAGACAACCAAGCGAAAGUUUGGCUAAUACCCCAUACAAUCCUCUUGAGGCAUCUCAAGGGGAUGAAAGGCCCGCAAGGGUCGUUCGAGGAGGAGUUUGCGGCCUAUCAGCUAGUUGGCGGUGUAACAGACCACCAAGGCUAUGACGGGUAUCCGAUCUAAAAGGAUGAACGGACACAAGGGCACUGAGACACGGGCCCUACUCCUAUGGGAGGCAGCAGUGGGGAAUUUUGGACAAUGGACGAAAGUCUGAUCCAGCGACGCCGCGUGAAGGACGAAGGUUUUCGGAUCGUAAACUUCUUUUGCAGGGGACGAAUACGCGCAAGCGUUUGACGGUACUCUGCGAAUAAGCCACGGCUAACUACGU
rnacentral:rRNA from 1 species